rnacentral:misc_RNA from 1 species
GAUGAAGAACGCAGCGAAAUGCGAUACUUGGUGUGAAUUGCAGAAUCCCGUGAACCAUCGAGUCUUUGAACGCAAGUUGCGCCCGAAGCCACUAGGCCGAGGGCACGCCUGCCUGGGCGUCACACGCCGUUGCCCCCCCAUCUACUCCUUCGGGAUUGCGGGGGGGGCGGAUGAUGGCCUCCUGUGCGCCUAGCCGCGCGGUUGGCAUAAAUACCAAGUCCUCGGCGACGCACGCCACGACAAUCGGUGGUUGCGAAACCUCGGUUGCCCGUCGUGUGCGUUCGUCGCGCAUCGAGGGCUCGAAAAAAUGCUCGGCUCCGGCUGGGCUUUCAACGCGACCCCAGGUCAGGCGGGGUUACCCGCUGAAUUUAAGCAUAUCAAUAAGCGGAGGA